rnacentral:rRNA from 1 species
CCUACGGGAGGCAGCAGUGAGGAAUAUUGGUCAAUGGACGAGAGUCUGAACCAGCCAAGUAGCGUGAAGGAUGACUGCCCUAUGGGUUGUAAACUUCUUUUAUAUGGGAAUAAAAUGUUCCACGUGUGGGAUUUUGUAUGUACCAUAUGAAUAAGGAUCGGCUAACUCCGGGCCAGCAGCCGCGGUAAUACGGAGGAUCCGAGAGUUAUCCGGAUUUAUUGGGUUUAAAGGGAGCGUAGGUGGAUUGUUAAGUCAGUUGUGAAAGUUUGCGGCUCAACCGUAAAAUUGCAGUUGAAACUGGCAGUCUUGAGUACAGUAGAGGUGGGCGGAAUUCGUGGUGUAGCGGUGAAAUGCUUAGAUAUCACGAAGAACUCCGAUUGCGAAGGCAGUUCACUGGACUGCAACUGACACUGAGGCUCGAAAGUGUGGGUAUCAAACAGGAUUAGAUACCCCAGUAGUC